CCCCUAGAUGUUCUGGGCCGCACGCGCGCUACACUGAACAGUUCAACAAGUCUUAACCUUGGCCGAUAGGUCUGGGUAAUCUUUGAACGCUGUUCGUGAUUGGGAUAGACCUUUGCAAUUAUGGGUCUUCAACGAGGAAUUCCUAGUAAACGCAAGUCAUCAGCUUGCAUUGAUUACGUCCCUGCCCUUUGUACACACCGCCCGUCGCACCUACCGAUUGGGUGCUCCGGUGAAUUGUUUGGACUGCUGUCAGUCUUUUUGGCUGUCGGCGAGAAGCUCUGUGAACCUUAGCACCUAGAGGAAGGAGAAGUCGUAACA
rnacentral:rRNA from 1 species